rnacentral:rRNA from 1 species
AUUGAACGCUGGCGGCAGGCCUAACACAUGCAAGUCGAACGAGUGGCGGACGGGUGCGUAAUGUCUGGGAAACUGCCUGAUGGAGGGGGAUAACUACUGGAAACGGUAGCUAAUACCGCAUACCAUCGGAUGUGCCCAUAUGGGAUUAGCUAGUCGGUGGGGUAAAGGCUCACCUAGGCGACGAUCCCUAGCUGGUCUGAGAGGAUGACCAGCCACGCUGGAACUGGGGAACGGUCCAGACUCCUACGGGAGGCAGCAGGGGGGAAUAUUGCAGAAUGGGAGCAAGCCUGAUGCAGCCAUGACGCGGGUAUGAAGAAGGCCGUCGGGUUGUAAAGUACUUUCAGCGGGGAGGCGUUACCAGCAGAAGAAGCACCGGCUAACUCCGUGCCAGCAGCCGCGGUAAUAC